rnacentral:rRNA from 1 species
UUAAGUUAAUAAGGGCGCACGGUGGAUGCCUUGGCACUAGGAGCCGACGAAGGACGUGACAAACGACGAUAUGCCUUGGGUAGCUGUAAGUAAGCGAUGAUCCAGGGAUUUCCGAAUGGGGGAACCCAACAGGUAGUACCUGUUACCCACAUCUGUUAAGGAUGUGAGGAGGAAGACGCAGUGAACUGAAACAUCUAAGUAGCUGCAGGAAGAGAAAGCAAAAGCGAUUGCCUUAGUAGCGGCGAGCGAAACGGCAGGAGGGCAAACCGAAGAGUUUACUCUUCGGGGUUGUAGGACUGCAAUGUGGACUCAAAGAUUAUAGAAGAAUGAUUUGGGAAGAUCAGCCAAAGAGAGUAAUAGCCUCGUAUUUAAAAUAGUCUUUGUACCUAGCAGUAUCCUGAGUACGGCGGGACACGUGAAAUCCCGUCGGAAUCUGGGAGGACCAUCUCCCAACCCUAAAUACUCCCUAGUGACCGAUAGUGAACCAGUACCGUGAGGGAAAGGUGAAAAGCACCCCGGGAGGGGAGUGAAAUAGAACCUGAAACCGUGUGCCUACAACAAGUUCGAGCCCGUUAAUGGGUGAGAGCGUGCCUUUUGUAGAAUGAACCGGCGAGUUACGUUAUGAUGCGAGGUUAAGUUGAAGAGACGGAGCCGUAGGGAAACCGAGUCUGAAUAGGGCGCCUUAGUAUCAUGACGUAGACCCGAAACCAUGUGACCUACCCAUGAGCAGGUUGAAGGUGCGGUAAGACGCACUGGAGGACCGAACCAGGGCACGUUGAAAAGUGCUUGGAUGACUUGUGGGUAGCGGAGAAAUUCCAAACGAACUUGGAGAUAGCUGGUUCUCUCCGAAAUAGCUUUAGGGCUAGCGUCGACAUUAGAGAUUCUUGGAGGUAGAGCACUGUUUGGGUGAGGGGUCCAUCCCGGAUUACCAAUCUCAGAUAAACUCCGAAUGCCAAUGAAUUAUGGUCGGCAGUCAGACUGCGAGUGCUAAGAUCCGUAGUCGAAAGGGAAACAGCCCAGACCACCAGCUAAGGUCCCAAAAUAAUUGUUAAGUGGAAAAGGAUGUGGGGUUGCACAGACAACUAGGAUGUUAGCUUAGAAGCAGCUAUUCAUUCAAAGAGUGCGUAAUAGCUCACUAGUCGAGUGACCCUGCGCCGAAAAUGUACCGGGGCUAAAACAAUUUACCGAAGCUGUGGAUACCUUUAUAGGUAUGGUAGGAGAGCGUUCUAUGUGUGAUGAAGGUAUACCGUGAGGAGUGCUGGAACGCAUAGAAGUGAGAAUGCCGGUAUGAGUAGCGAAAGACAGGUGAGAAUCCUGUCCACCGUAAGACUAAGGUUUCCAGGGGAAGGCUCGUCCGCCCUGGGUUAGUCGGGACCUAAGGAGAGACCGAAAGGUGUAUCCGAUGGACAACAGGUUGAUAUUCCUGUACUAGAGUAUGUAGUGAUGGAGGGACGCAGUAGGCUAACUAAAGCAGACGAUUGGAAGAGUCUGUCUAAGCAGUGAGGUGUGAAUUGAGUCAAAUGCUUAAUUCUAUAACAUUGAGCUGUGAUGGGGAGCGAAGUUUAGUAGCGAAGUUAGUGACGUCACACUGCCAAGAAAAGCUUCUAGCGUUUAAACAUACUCUACCCGUACCGCAAACCGACACAGGUAGUCGAGGCGAGUAGCCUCAGGUGAGCGAGAGAACUCUCGUUAAGGAACUCGGCAAAAUGACCCCGUAACUUCGGGAGAAGGGGUGCUGACUUAAAGUCAGCCGCAGUGAAUAGGCCCAAGCAACUGUUUAUCAAAAACACAGCUCUCUGCUAAAUCGUAAGAUGAUGUAUAGGGGGUGACGCCUGCCCGGUGCUGGAAGGUUAAGAGGAGUGCUUAGCGUAAGCGAAGGUAUGAAUUGAAGCCCCAGUAAACGGCGGCCGUAACUAUAACGGUCCUAAGGUAGCGAAAUUCCUUGUCGGGUAAGUUCCGACCCGCACGAAAGGCGUAAUGAUUUGGGCACUGUCUCAACGAGAGACUCGGUGAAAUUUUAGUACCUGUGAAGAUGCAGGUUACCCGCGACAGGACGGAAAGACCCCAUGGAGCUUUACUGCAGUUUGAUAUUGAGUGUCUGUACCACAUGUACAGGAUAGGUAGGAGUCUAAGAGAUCGGGACGCCAGUUUCGAAGGAGACGCUGUUGGGAUACUACCCUUGUGUUAUGGCCACUCUAACCCAGAUAGGUGAUCCCUAUCGGAGACAGUGUCUGACGGGCAGUUUGACUGGGGCGGUCGCCUCCUAAAAGGUAACGGAGGCGCCCAAAGGUUCCCUCAGAAUGGUUGGAAAUCAUUCGCAGAGUGUAAAGGUAUAAGGGAGCUUGACUGCGAGAGC